rnacentral:rRNA from 1 species
GAUUUCCUGACAUUACGCUCCUUGGCCUACGUCUCUUCUGGGAUGAUAGUGUUGAAGAGCGUGUCAGCUUCUGUGGUCAUUUGCGGACCCUCAGCUCACCUGGUUUACUCUGGGUUGGUUGGGGAUCAUCCGACUCUUGAUCACCUUUACUUUGAAAAAAUUAGAGUGUUCAAAGCAGGCUUACGCCGUGAAUACUAUUAGCAUGGGAUAACACCGUAGGACUUCGGUUCUAUUUUGUUGGUUUUUUAGCAACUGGAGUAAUGAUUGAUAGGGAUAGUUGGGGGUGCUAGUAUUUCGCGGCCAGAGGUGAAAUUCUCGUACUCGCGAAAGACUGACUACUGCGAAAGCAUU